GAAUCGAGUGACCUCGGCUGUGCCAAGCGGUAGCGCGCGACAACUUUGCACGCGAGUAAUCUGCGCAGUCUACGCUAUGCGCUCUAUAGUUGCCCUGGUGGUGCGUGUUGCAUGGACCUUCCGAAUUAAAGCAAGCUGGCGGUUUACUGUGACAUCCACCUCACUGUGUUGUGCCGGCAUACAAAGCCAGUCACAAGGCGACUUCGAGCAGCGCAGACCCAUGUGACUGACUACCUGUGCUGCAGCAUGAAAAAAAUCCUUCCACGGAUUCUGUACAGUCAUGGCAUCACUGCCUCAACGGACUCGACCCUGAGCAAAGGCCAGUGAGGACACAAGCGCAUGGUGAGCAGAAUCAUGCGAGGGGUCACUCUCAAUCGUCAGACGGC